UAAUGUAAUUCUUACAACACUAAUACAUUGAAUCCCAUUAUAACUCCACAGUUAAGAACACUUGGGAUAGAGUAGUAUUGGGAUGGGUGACCUCCUAGGAAGUCCUAGUGUUUUACAUGCC
rfam:Picea glauca, whole genome shotgun sequence.